CGGCGUGCUUAACACAUGCAAGUCGAGCGAUGAAGCUUCCUUCGGGAAGUGGAUUAGCGGCGGACGGGUGAGUAACACGUGGGCAACCUGCCUCAAAGUGGGGGAUAGCCCUCCGAAAGGAGGAUUAAUACCGCAUAACAUGAGAGGAUCGCAUGAUUCUUUCAUCAAAGAUUUAUUGCUUUGAGAUGGGCCCGCGGCGCAUUAGCUAGUUGGUGAGGUAACGGCUCACCAAGGCAACGAUGCGUAGCCGACCUGAGAGGGUGAUCGGCCACAUUGGAACUGAGAUACGGUCCAGACUCCUACGGGAGGCAGCAGUGGGGAAUAUUGCGCAAUGGGGGAAACCCUGACGCAGCAACGCCGCGUGAGUGAUGAAGGUCUUCGGAUUGUAAAGCUCUGUUUUCUGGGACGAUAAUGACGGUACCAGAGGAGGAAGCCACGGCUAACUACGUGCCAGCAGCCGCGGUAAUACGUAGGUGGCGAGCGUUGUCCGGAUUUACUGGGCGUAAAGAGUGCGUAGGCGGAUGCUUAAGUGAGAUGUGAAAUACCCGGGCUUAACUUGGGGGCUGCAUUUCAAACUGGGCAUCUAGAGUACAGGAGAGGAAAGCGGAAUUCCUAGUGUAGCGGUGAAAUGCGUAGAUAUUAGGAAGAACACCAGUGGCGAAGGCGGCUUUCUGGACUGUAACUGACUCUGA
rnacentral:rRNA from 1 species